rnacentral:rRNA from 1 species
UGGGGAAUCUUGGACAAUGGGCGCAAGCCUGAUCCAGCCAUGCCGCGUGAGUGAAGAAGGCCUUAGGGUUGUAAAGCUCUUUUGGCAGGGACGAUAAUGACGGUACCUGCAGAAUAAGCCCCGGCAAACUUCGUGCCAGCAGCCGCGGUAAUACGAAGGGGGCUAGCGUUGUUCGGAUUUACUGGGCGUAAAGCGCACGUAGGCGGAUUGUUAAGUCAGGGGUGAAAUCCCGGAGCUCAACUCCGGAACUGCCUUUGAUACUGGCAAGCUUGAGGCUGGAAGAGGUUGGUAGAAUUCCCAGUGUAGAGGUGAAAUUCGUAGAUAUUGGGAAGAAUACCAGUGGCGAAGGCGGCCAACUGGUCCAGAUCUGACGCUGAGGUGCGAAAGCGUGGGGAGCAAACA